AGAUUUUUAUGAAGCCAGGGGAUAAAAGGUUAUCAUCAUUUACAGAAACCGAUGACAGAAGACAUUUAGUUUCCUGAUCUACAGACAGUGGUUCUAUACAGAACUAUCACAUGUGAUAUGGUGAAUUAUAUAUUAAUAAUUUAUUAUUAAACACUAACCAAAGUGCUAGAACAAGCCAAAAUUAAGUCUCAAUCAAAUACUCAGGAAUUAUAGAUAGAAACACAGAAAGAACACAUGAGUGUAUGUUAUUCUUAUGCAAAUAGGGUCAUUAUUGUAUAAAAAACAUGAUAUUAUUGUUCUUUUUUUUAUAUCACAUCUAUGUUUUGCUAUUUG
rnacentral:lncRNA from 1 species